UUGUGUGUUCCGAUCUGACAGCCCACAUGCCUCUGCUGAAUGCCUCGGCCACAGGACACAGAGCACUAAGAAGACAGAGGACAGGAUAAGCUCUCAUUUUCCCAGCCCAUCGGGAAGAGGUGAAAAAGGCAGGUUAGAAACUGAAAGUCGUUCGCAGUGUAUCCAUUUUCAUCCUGACACACCACAACACGCCGCUGGGACCCGCCAGCACAGGUACUGGAACACUGAACACAUCCGUCAACAAGUUAGUCCCCACCUCCAUCUCCAUCUUAGGGACACAAAAAGCAGCCAGUUGAAAGGUCAGAGACAAAUGUGAUGGAAAUGGUUCGCAAGUCAUCCACAAUGAACAAAAAGCAACGAGGAGAACUUGAGAACUUGCCUGUCGUGGGGUUGUUGAAUGUACACAUCUUAUAAACACACAUGGAGGGCAUGCUUCAGGCCCUCAGCAGGUGUUCAAUAAAUACCUAAUGAAUGAUAAUGUCUUGUGACUUCCAAAACAGUCUGAUUUAUUGUCCUC